GACGUAGGUGGCAAGCGUUGUUCGGAAUCACUGGGCAUAAAGCGCGCGUAGGCGGCUAAGUCAGUCGGGUGUGAAAGCCCUCGGCUCAACCGAGGAACUGCGCCCGAUACUGCUUGGCUUGAGGAUCGGAGGGGAGAGUGGAAUUCCCGGUGGAGCGGUGAAAUGCGUAGAGAUCGGGAAGAACGCCGGCGGCGAAAGCGACUCUCUGGUCGACCCCUGACGCUGAGGCGCGAAAGCUAGGGGAGCAAACGGG
rnacentral:rRNA from 1 species